rnacentral:rRNA from 1 species
CCUACGGGUGGCUGCAGUCGUGAAUCUUCCGCAAUGGGCGAAAGCCUGACGGAGCGACACCGCGUGCAGGAUGAAGGCCUUCGGGUUGUAAACUGCUGUCAGGUUCUAGGAACCUCCAGACGUGAACAGCGUCUGGAGUGACCAAGACCAAAGGAAGCAACGGCUAACUCUGUGCCAGCAGCCGCGGUAAGACAGAGGUUGCAAACGUUGUUCGGAAUUACUGGGCAUAAAGCGCACGUAGGCCGUUCGCUAAGUCAGGCGUGAAAUCCCCCGGCUCAACCGGGGAAUUGCGCCUGAUACUGGCGGACUCGAGGUCGGUAGGGGUGAGCGGAACUCCAGGUGGAGCGGUGAAAUGCGUAGAUAUCUGGAGGAACACCGGUGGCGAAAGCGGCUCACUGGAUCGAAUCUGACGCUGAGGUGCGAAAGCUAGGGUAGCAAAC